CUGACGAAGACAACAGGGGCAUACGGACAUGGGAGGGAGAACAAUUGCUUCUCGAUGAUUAAGCAGGAAAAUUGGUAUAAAACUGUGUAAAAUAAGUCGAAAUAUUUGUCAGAUUAAUAAUUAUUAUUGUUGAAUGCAACCUUUAAAUUUAAAGUAAAAUUCUUUCUUCCAUUUUAUUAGAUUCGACAACUUCACUUUCUGAUUCUUCAUCAAUUGAUAUACCAAGUCUAAGGAAAAACGAAGUAGACACAUCAACAAAAGAAAAAGACAUUCUUGCAAAUCUCCAAGAUCGUUUGCAUGAAGAGUUGAAACGCCGAGUCAGUCUGACUCUAGCAAAAAAAGUUCUCGCCGUUGCGUACAUAACUCCUGAUUCCUCCGCAGAAGAAGUGCAAUUUUGGUUGACUAGCAAAGGAUUUGCUUCCAGGACUCAACAAAAAUUCCAGAAUGUUCGAGGUGACGAAAUAUUCUCUCUGGAGAAGAAAGAGAUGGAAAAAGAAUUGGGUAAUGAAGAAGGCCUACGUCUAUUCAAUCAGAUCAUUAUACAAAAGAACAUUUGCGGGGUAAGUAAGAUACAUCAUUAGCAACAAUUCGUAAAAAAUGCGACCGCGCGCGAGUGCGUAACCCUAUAAAAAGACAGAAAAGAAUAAAAGAGAGAUUAGAAUAAUAAUAAAACUUUUUAUUUACCCCGCAUAAGAUGCAAGAACAUAGAACCCAUAAAAUUUGAAUAGAAUGGAAAUCUAUAUCAUAUAAAACGCUAAUACGUACGUAUGUCUCGUAUGUAUGAAUCAAUAA